UACGUAGGUGGCAAGCGUUGUCCGGAUUUACUGGGUGUAAAGGGCGUGUAGCCGGGAAGGCAAGUCAGAUGUGAAAUCUGGAGGCUCAACCUCCAAAUUGCAUUUGAAACUGUUUUUCUUGAGUACUGGAGAGGCAGACGGAAUUCCUAGUGUAGCGGUGAAAUGCGUAGAUAUUAGGAGGAACACCAGUGGCGAAGGCGGCCUGCUGGACGGUGACUGACGCUGAGGCUCGAAAGCGUGGGGAGCAAACAGG
rnacentral:rRNA from 1 species